UGCCAGCCGCCGCGGUAAUACGUAGGGAGCAAGCGUUGUCCGGAGUUAUUGGGCGUAAAGGGUGCGUAGGCGGUUUUGUAAGUCAGAUGUGAAAGCCCGGGGCUCAACCCCGGAAGUGCAUUGGAAACUGGCGAACUUGAGUACGGGAGAGGAAAGUGGAAUUCCGAGUGUAGGGGUGAAAUCCGUAGAUAUUCGGAGGAACACCAGUGGCGAAGGCGGCUUUCUGGACCGAUACUGACGCUGAGACGCGAAAGCGUGGGGAGCAAACAGGAUUAGAUA
rnacentral:rRNA from 1 species